UGGGGAAUAUUGGACAAUGGGCGAAAGCCUGAUCCAGCCAUGCCGCGUGUGUGAAGAAGGUCUUCGGAUUGUAAAGCACUUUAAGUUGGGAGGAAGGGCAGUAAGCGAAUACCUUGCUGUUUUGACGUUACCGACAGAAUAAGCACCGGCUAACUCUGUGCCAGCAGCCGCGGUAAUACAGAGGGUGCAAGCGUUAAUCGGAAUUACUGGGCGUAAAGCGCGCGUAGGUGGUUCGUUAAGUUGAAUGUGAAAGCCCCGGGCUCAACCUGGGAACUGCAUCGAAAACUGGCGAGCUAGAGUAGGGCAGAGGGUGGUGGAAUUUCCUGUGUAGCGGUGAAAUGCGUAGAUAUGGGAAGGAACACCAGUGGCGAAGGCGACCACCUGGGCUCAUACUGACACUGAGGUGCGAAAGCGUGGGGAGCAAACAGG
rnacentral:rRNA from 1 species